GAAACGGGAACCCGGCACCGCGCAAGCGGAUCAGACCGGGGGUGCCUCACCGAGAGGCGAGGCGGCA
rnacentral:sRNA from 1 species